AUAAUACAACUGGCAAACAGCUGAUAAAUAAUGUGGCCAUGUAUUAAACAGGCAUAGCUGAGGCUGAAGCAGUAUAUUCCCUCUAACAGUGGGUUAAUGUACAUCAGCACUGCAACACUGCCAUCUAAUGGCCAGUAGUAGACAUGCAUGACAUCAAUCCGGGGGCUGAACGUGCUGCUACACUGCACGGGUUGUGCACGCCUGUUAAUUAACGAGCGGACCUACAAAUGGCCGUUCAGUCCACUAUUCUAUUGGUAAUAUGGUCAAGGUCCAGUGGGUCCAGUAGGUCCACGAGGUCCAGUGGGUCCAACAGGUCCAAAGCAAGGACGUCACGAUGCACGAGGUGAAAAUGGUGCACCAGGUAUGGCAGGUCAACCAGGUGAGUGACUACAAAUAAAUUCUACUAAUAUAUAACAUCCAGCUGUAAUUCUAAUGCUCACAAUGUCUACUUCUACCAUCAGCUGUGCUUUACCAUGUACUAUACCUUCACCUCAGCCUCCCUUUACCUCAAACUCACUUUUCACUGUCUGAUCUAUUCAUGUUCGUAGCAGCACCAAAGUCAACAUCUUAUUCAAAAUUAGAUGAAACGAACACAGAAUUCAAAUGGAAUUUGAACUAGUGAUUACUAGUGUUUGCUAAGCAGAAUAAAACUCAAACAAUGACUAUUUUCAUUCAAUUGUAACAUUCAGGGCUAAUGCAUGAAGUAGUGUGAUGUUCAUAUAGUGCAAAGAAAAGAAACUGAUCUUUUAUAAUCUUUAUUUAUUUUGUGGAAUUUUCCCAAUUUAUUUUUGUCCUAUUUUAACCAGUUGAUUAAAGUUCAAAUUAUGGGAUGGCCCCAAUGAGUGUACAGUACAUAAUGUUUCUGCUCAUUACAUUUAGUUAUAUUACGUCAUUUUGCAUUCAUUACAAUGGAAAAAUAGAGGUAAAAAAAACAUACAUUAUGCUUGUUUAAUUGGUGUGAACCACAUCUCCUGUCCUAUACCUCUUACACCUCUGCUGAUAUUGCUGCAAAGUUACAGCCAGUUUAGAUGGAAAUGGAUGCUUUAAUAAAACAAAACAAAGAACCUACAAAAUCCCUGUUUGUAAUGUG